AUUUAUAUAGUUUAAGUAAAAAACAUUACAUUUUCAUUGUAAAAACAAAUAAUUCGUUUUAUAAAUA
rnacentral:tRNA from 2 species